CGCGGAGUGGAGCAGUUGGUAGCUCGUCGGGCUCAUAACCCGAAGGUCGUAGGUUCAAAUCCUGCCUCCGCAACCA
rnacentral:tRNA from 3 species